rnacentral:lncRNA from 1 species
GUCUGUUGUCUUUCUAUACCUUAUCUCUAAUCCUGGAGAAAUGGCAUGGUAGAUUUGAAAGAACAAGGAUAAUAAUCCCCCACAGAGUUCCUUACUCAGUGUGAGACCCCAGAACGCUGCCUCCUACCUUCUUUAGGCCUUGGUUUCCUCUUUUGUGAACUAGAAAUAACAACUACCUUGUAGAUUUGUUGAGAAAGAGGAGUAAUAGUCUUUGAAAAACUCCAUGAACCCAGUAAAUAAUAGUUUCAGGGUGAGAUCCAUGAAUUUCAACCAAAUUUGGACCCAAAAGAUUUAAAAUUUUUUUCCUUUUCCCCCAAUAAUUCACUUGCUUAUAAUUGUAUUGGAAAAGUUUAUAUAAGAGUUUAGCAGAUGUUAAGUCCAACGGGAGGGCAGGCAGAGAUGAGAAGCACUUUAUUUUGUUGGCAUAGUCAGCCAAUCCAUUAAAAAAAAUUAAAACUGGAGACCUUUUUUUGGCUCCCUGGCUAUGAUACACACACAUACAAAGGCAUAUAUAACGAU